AGUGAACGCUGGCGGUAGGCCUAACACAUGCAAGUCGAACGGCAGCACAGUAAGAGCUUGCUCUUACGGGUGGCGAGUGGCGGACGGGUGAGGAAUACAUCGGAAUCUACUUUUUCGUGGGGGAUAACGUAGGGAAACUUACGCUAAUACCGCAUACGACCUACGGGUGAAAGCAGGGGAUCUUCGGACCUUGCGCGAUUGAAUGAGCCGAUGUCGGAUUAGCUAGUUGGCGGGGUAAAGGCCCACCAAGGCGACGAUCCGUAGCUGGUCUGAGAGGAUGAUCAGCCACACUGGAACUGAGACACGGUCCAGACUACUACGGGAGGCAGCAGUGGGGAAGAGUGGAAAAUGGGCGCAAGCCUGAUCCAGCCAUGCCGCGUGGGUGAAGAAGGCCUUCGGGUUGUAAAGCCCUUUUGUUGGGAAAGAAAAGCAGCAGGUUAAUACCCCGCUGUUCGGACGGUACCCAAAGAAGAAGCACCGGCGAACUUCG
rnacentral:rRNA from 1 species